UGCAGUUAAAGCAGCAGGAAGCUUUAUUCUUCUUUUUAGUAAGAGAAAGAUAAUUUUGUUUCCAUUUCCAUUGGAUUCAUAAAUACAUAUGGCAAAAAUACCAUGCAGUUCAACAUUUUAUGUUGCAGGGAGCUACUCUAUGUCAUAAAGCGACCUAUUGUAAAGUAAAUCAUAUUUUCCCAUAGGAGCAAUGUUCUAAUAAAGGGCCUAUUCUUGGCUGAGAAUUUCACAUCCAAUAAAUCAAACCGAUGACCAACAAUAUGGUGGAAAAGCAGAACCAAACAAUAAAAUUACACUUCAAAGUCCAAGGAUUUCAGAACUCAAAAGGACCUCAGAGACGAUAGAGUCAUUUCCCCAAGCUGGGCCUUGCCACAGAAAAGUCAUGAUAAGAAAAGCAAAUGUCUUCGUUAAACAGCGGCCCCGAGGGAAAUCACGAAAGUUUGCAGAGGAUGCAGCAGGUGAGUCCUGUGUACGUCAGAGGAGCUUCGACGCUGCACAGCUGCCACUCGGGGGGACACUAUUGGCCUCGAUCACAUCAUGGAGACCACAUGGAUGCUGGGAAUGCACUUCCCAUUGGCCGAGCUGAGGACAGGAGCAGGCCGUGGGUGAGCCGGGGUUUCCAUUUCUCUUCCCACCAUGAGAAUUUUAUGCCAGUCAAUUUUAAUAUGAUAAUUUAUUUUGCAUUUUGCUAUUCUCACUAAGGUAUGCAUGGAUUGCAAAAGAUUGGGAAGUUUGUUCUUUGAUUCGAUUCUUUGAUUGGAUGGAUAGGAUCCUUCCAUCUCUUUAAGAAUGCCACCUCCUACUCCAACCCCAAUCCUGGCUUCCCAAAUUCCAAACUCCCAACACUUGAAAGGCCCAAACCUUGUUAGGUUUGAUGAUAGCAAUUUACAAUUAACAAAUAUGUUCGUAACGAGUGUUCCUUUCUGUAGGUUUGUUUAAAAGUGAAAACAAUGUGGCUAGUUAUAAAA